GACGAACGCUGGCGGCGUGCUUAACACAUGCAAGUCGAACGGAAAGGCCCUGCUUUUGUGGGGUGCUCGAGUGGCGAACGGGUGAGUAACACGUGAGUAACCUGCCCUUGACUUUGGGAUAACUUCAGGAAACUGGGGCUAAUACCGGAUAGGAUCUCCUGCUGCAUGGUGGGGGUUGGAAAGUUUCGGCGGUAGGGGAUGGACUCGCGGCUUAUCAGCUUGUUGGUGGGGUAGGGGCUUACCAAGGCUUUGACGGGUAGCCGGCCUGAGAGGGUGACCGGCCACAUUGGGCCUAAGGUACGCACCAGACUCCUACGGGAGGCAGCAGUGGGGAGUAUUGCACAAUGGGCGGAAGCGUGAUGCAGCAACGCCGCGUGCGGGAUGACGGCCUUCGGGUUGUAAACCGCUUUCGCCUGUGACGAAGCGUGAGUGACGGUAAUGGGUAAAGAAGCACCGGCUAACUACGUG
rnacentral:rRNA from 1 species